rnacentral:rRNA from 1 species
CGAGUGAAGCGGCAACAGCUCAAAUUUGAAAUCUGGCCCUCGGGUCCGAGUUGUAAUUUGUAGAGGAUGCUUUUGGUGAGGUACCUUCCGAGUUCCCUGGAACGGGACGCCAUAGAGGGUGAGAGCCCCGUCUGGUCGGAUACCAAUCCUCUGUAAAGCUCCUUCGACGAGUCGAGUAGUUUGGGAAUGCUGCUCUAAAUGGGAGGUAUAUGUCUUCUAAAGCUAAAUAUUGGCCAGAGACCGAUAGCGCACAAGUAGAGUGAUCGAAAGAUGAAAAGCACUUUGAAAAGAGGGUUAAACAGUACGUGAAAUUGUUGAAAGGGAAGCGCUUGUGACCAGACUUGGGCCCGGUUAAUCAUCCAGCGUUCUCGCUGGUGCACUUGGCCGGCCCAGGCCAGCAUCAGUUCGGUGUGGGGGAUAAAGGCGGCGGGAAUGUGGCUCCUCCGGGAGUGUUAUAGCCCACCGUGUAAUACCCUGUGCUGGACUGAGGUUCGCGCAUUCGCAAGGAUGCUGGCGUAAUGGUCAUUAGCGACCCGUCUUGAAACACGGACCAAGGAGUCGUCUUCGUAUGCGAGUGUUCGGGUGUUAAACCCCUACGCGUAAUGAAAGUGAACGCAGGUGAGAGCUUCGGCGCAUCAUCGACCGAUCCUGAUGUUCUCGGAUGGAUUUGAGUAAGAGCAUACGGGGCCGGACCCGAAAGAAGGUGAACUAUGCCUGUAUAGGGUGAAGCCAGAGGAAACUCUGGUGGAGGCUCGCAGCGGUUCUGACGUGCAAAUCGAUCGUCAAAUAUGGGCAUGGGGGCG